AGCGAACGCUGGCGGCAGGCCUAACACAUGCAAGUCGAGCGCCCGUAGCGAUACGGGAGCGGCAGACGGGAGAGUAACACGUGGGAACGUACCCUUUGGUUCGGAACAACACAGGGAAACUUGUGCUAAUACCGGAUAAGCCCUUACGGGGAAAGAUUUAUCGCCAAAGGAUCGGCCCGCGUCUGAUUAGCUAGUUGGUGGGGUAACGGCGUCACCAAGGCGACGAUCAGUAGCUGGUCUGAGAGGA
rnacentral:rRNA from 1 species